UGCUCCGGUUGGAUGCAUGUCCUUCCGGGAAAGAUCCGUCGGUAUGGGAUGGGGUCGCGUCCUAUCAGCUUGAUGGCGGGGUAACGGCCCACCAUGGCUUCGACGGGUAGCCGGCCUGAGAGGGCGACCGGCCACAUUGGGACUGAGAUACGGCCCAGACUCCUACGGGAGGCAGCAGUGGGGAAUAUUGCACAAUGGGCGCAAGCCUGAUGCAGCGACGCCGCGUGCGGGAUGGAGGCCUUCGGGUUGUAAACCGCUUUUGUUCAAGGGCAAGGCACGGUUUCGGCCGUGUUGAGUGGAUUGUUCGAAUAAGCACCGGCUAACUACGUGCCAGCAGCCGCGGUAAUACGUAGGGUGCGAGCGUUAUCCGGAUUUAUUGGGCGUAAAGGGCUCGUAGGCGGUUCGUCGCGUCCGGUGUGAAAGUCCAUCGCAUAACGGUGGAUCUGCGCCGGGUACGGGCGGGCUGGAGUGCGGUAGGGGAGACUGGAAUUCCCGGUGUAACGGUGGAAUGUGUAGAUAUCGGGAAGAACACCAAUGGCGAAGGCAGGUCUCUGGGCCGUCACUGACGCUGAGGAGCGAAAGCGUGGGGAGCGAACAGGAUUAGAUACCCUGGUAGUCCACGCCGUAAACGGUGGAUGCUGGAUGUGGGGCCCUUUCCACGGGUCCCGUGUCGGAGCCAACGCGUUAAGCAUCCCGCCUGGGGAGUACGGCCGCAAGGCUAAAACUCAAAGAAAUUGACAGGGGCCCGCACAAGCGGCGGAGCAUGCGGAUUAAUUCGAUGCAACGCGAAGAACCUUAUCUGGGCUUGACAUGUUCCCGACGGUCGUAGAGAUACGGCUUCCCUUCGGGGCGGGUUCACAGGUGGUGCAUGGUCGUCGUCAGCUCGUGUCGUGAGAUGUUGGGUUAAGUCCCGCAACGAGCGCAACCCUCGCCCCGUGUUGCCAGCGGAUUAUGCCGGGAACUCACGGGGGACCGCCGGGGUUAACUCGGAGGAAGGUGGGGAUGACGUCAGAUCAUCAUGCCCCUUACGUCCAGGGCUUCACGCAUGCUACAAUGGCCGGUACAACGCGGUGCGACACGGUGACGUGGGGCGGAUCCCUGAAAACCGGUCUCAGUUCGGAUCGCAGUCUGCAACUCGACUGCGUGAAGGUGGAGUCGCUAGUAAUCGCGGAUCAGCAACGC
rnacentral:rRNA from 1 species